GCUGGGCAUGGUUUCACAUGCCUGUAAUCCCAGUGACUUGAGAGUCUGAGGCAGGAGGAUCACAAGUUUGAGGCCAACUUCAGCAAUUUAGUGAGACCCUGUCUCAA
rnacentral:sRNA from 1 species